GCAAAAUAUAUUCUUUAUUCCAACAGAGGACUACCAGGAGCUCAUCGAAGACAUAGUCUGAGACGGCAGGCUCUAUGCAUCUGAGAACCAUCAGGAGAUCCUUAAGGAUAAGAAACUGAUCAAGGCUCUGUUUGAUGUCCUGGCCCAUCCCCAGAACUAUUUCCAGUACACGGCCCAGGAGUCCCGGGAGAUGUUUCCUAGAUCCUUCAUCCGAUUGCUACGGUCCAAAGUGUCCAGGUUCUUGAGGCCUUACAGAUGAGCCUGCUCACGUGCCUUCAGUACAGUAUCCGCUGUGGGCUGGUAGGACACAGCUGUCGGCUUCGGCAGCCAGCACAGCCAGUGUUGCUGCCUCCAGUAGCGGUGACUUGCUGGAGUUCAAUUUUUAUAGAUAAUACAGAUAUUUUGGUAAAUGGAA